AACAGCCGAUCCGAGUAAGCUUGGAUCGGUUUUUCUUUUGAAUAAAGUUAAAAUCGGGUAUACAAAUAAAAA
rnacentral:sRNA from 1 species